GUGUCUUCAGCAGUUGCUUCAGAGAAUAAGAGCCAGUUGUGGUCAGUGUGUGAUAUAUUUGUGUAUGUUUGUGAGUGUGUGUGUGUGUGUGUGUGUAAUAUAAUGAGAACAGUUGCUCAGAGUUCAGUUGGGUCUGGGCAGUACAGAAUGAUGCAGUCCGGCUCUGUGCUGCUGUGUGCUGUGUUUAUAACCUGCUUCUGUUACUGCGACUCCAGUUUAGACGUUUCUGUGACCCAGACUCCAGUUGAACUCACAGUGGAGGAAGGACAGAGUGUGGAUAUCUCCUGUUGCUGGAAUAAAAUCAUCCCUAAUAUUAAAGUGAGGUGGAUUAAACCCAAAGAGACUAAUAAAGACGUUCCUACAGAAAUCCUUAAUACUAACUGCUCAGUUUUCUCUAUAAGAAACGCCUGCAGUAAUGAUACAGGACUGUACAUCUGUGAAGUUCUACAAGACAUUCCUGUACUGGUUACUGUAAAAGGAAAAGGGACGACUGUGAGACUCCUGGAAAAAAAGACAGAGGAAGUUAAUCCACCAGCAGAGAAAGACUCUCACAAACCACCCAGUUCUGGAAAGUAUAAAGUCCAUAUUCCGGACGGCGUCCUGAUCUACAUCCUCCGGUGCCUGCCCUUCAUCACUCUGCUCUUAGCGGUGUGUUAUCUCAACCGAGAUACCAGCAAGAAAACACGGACUAAAACAAACAGAGAGAAUAUCCUCAACCCAAAAGAGCUGGAGGAGGAGGAUGAAGAACCGGGAGAAGAACCUGAGCUGAAUGAAGAACCAGGAGAAGAAGGAGAGCAAAGAGAAGUGGCUGCAAGAAGAGGAGAACCAGAACCGGAAGAGAGAGGAGAAGAACCAGCGAUAUCAGAUAAAUCUGAUAAAAAGAAAAAUGAUAAUGAUCAGAUAAAGGAUGAAGGAGAAACUGUGUCUCUGAUUAUUUAACCCUUUCAGACUUUGCAUCCAUUACAAUUGAUAUCAUUUAUUUUAUUGAUUUUUACAUGUCUUGUUGCACAUAACACUGUUAAAAAUCUGAAUAAACGAAUGAUAAUAAGCUAAUGAACA
rnacentral:lncRNA from 1 species